AGAGUUUGAUCCUGGCUCAGAGCGAACGCUGGCGGCAGGCCUAAUACAUGCAAGUCGAACGGAUCCUUCGGGAUUAGUGGCGGACGGGUGAGUAACACGUGGGAACGUGCCCUUUGGUUCGGAACAACUCAGGGAAACUUGAGCUAAUACCGGAUGUGCCCUUCGGGGGAAAGAUUUAUCGCCAUUGGAGCGGCCCGCGUUCUGAUUAGCUAGUUGGUGGGGUAAAGGCCCACCAAGGCGACGAUCAGUAGCUGGUCUGAGAGGAUGAUCAGCCACACUGGGACUGAGACACGGCCCAGACUCCUACGGGAGGCAGCAGUAGGGAAUCUUGCGCAAUGGGCGAAAGCCUGACGCAGCCAUGCCGCGUGAAUGAUGAAGGUCUUAGGAUUGUAAAAUUCUUUCAGCGGGGACGAUAAUGACGGUACCCGCAGAAGAAGCC
rnacentral:rRNA from 1 species